UACGUAGGGGGCAAGCGUUGUCCGGAAUCAUUGGGCGUAAAGCGCGUGUAGGCGGCUCGAUAAGUCUGCUGUGAAAGUCCAAGGCUCAACCUUGGGAUGCCGGUGGAUACUGUCGAGCUCGAGUCCGGAAGAGGAGUGUGGAAUUCCAGGUGUAGCGGUGAAAUGCGCAGAUAUCGCUUGGAACGCCGAAGGUGAAAACAGGCUGCUGGGGUUGUGCCGACGCUGAGACACGAAAGCCAGGGGAGCAAACGGG
rnacentral:rRNA from 1 species